ACGACCGGUGUGGUGGGGAGCAGCUCGUUUGUGCUAAGCUUCCAGAAUAUGAUUGGGUGCUCCUAAAACGCAGCUUAGAGGAGAGGAAGGGUGGAGCUGGAGAAAACGCGAGGCUGACGCAUCCUGGUCAGAGGGGUGCCCUGCUCUGCUUAGCUGCAUCCAGGUCCUCUCUGGGAAGGAGCACAGAAAGCAAGGGAGUCUUUUCUCAGUCCCUUGAGCCAAUGGGAGGACUGCAGGUCAGACUUGUACUCCUAACCUGAGAGCAGGCUGAGAGAUUUGUCACUGAGUCUCUGCUCAGCACAGUGCUGCAGUACAGUGUGAUGGAAACUACAGAUAGAAAUGGUGUGUUAAAACCUCCUGGUGACCUCAGUCCAGCCUGAAUACCUACAAGAGAAGGACAAGCCUCUAAACUUGCAACUGUUCUUCAAAGGAGAUCUAUAAAACCUCCUGAAGGCAUCAAUCUGAAAGCAAAGCUUGAAGUUUGGUGCAUUUAUUUCCUCCUUCAGCAUGGUCUAAAAUGCAGGACCAGAAACACUACUGAGUGGUGGAGAUGGAUGACAGUAACUGGAACAGCAUGAUCAGUUGCUCCUCUUCUGUCUCAGUGCGACUAUUCAGAUCCAAAUGUAAUUCCAUGCACGUAUGAAGAAUUAAGGC